GAUUUCAACUGAAAAAGUCAUCAACAACAAAGUUGUAUAACUCAUGAAGAUCUAUAACUUUUAUUUUGGUCAUUUCUACAUCCGACAAAGUGAUAGUAACAUUGUUCACAAAAUUUACAUCUCUCAUUUGUUUUUAUAAACUAUGAAAGAUAGAUGUAAAUUUUGUGAACAAUGUUAUUGUCACUUUGUCGGAUGAAGAAAUGACCAAAAUAAAAGUUAUAUGUCUUGAUGAGUUCUACAACUUUUAUGUUCAUGAUUUUUUUAUCUAAAUUU
rnacentral:pre_miRNA from 1 species